UCCUAGUACGAGAGGACCGGAGUGGACGCAUCACUGGUGUUCGGGUUGUCAUGCCAAUGGCACUGCCCGGUAGCUAAAUGCGGAAGAGAUAAGUGCUGAAAGCAUCUAAGCACGAAACUUGCCCCGAGAUGAGUUCUCCCUGACUCCUUGAGAGUCCUGAAGGAACGUUGAAGACGACGACGUUGAUAGGCCGGGUGUGUAAGCGCAGCGAUGCGUUGAGCUAACCGGUACUAAUGAACCGUGAGGCUUAACCUUACAACGCCGAAGCUGUU
rnacentral:rRNA from 1 species